AGGAGCAGAGACAUUCUCAUGAGAAAAAUCACACACAGCACCAGGAGUGACAAUCAUCUUCUAUUAUUAGGAUAGAAAUAAGACCGUUCUGUAGUUAGUGGAAUGCUUGCUUUAAUAACAGCUCUUUAUAACCUCCAUCACACAGUCACUAAGCAUUAUAUACAGAUUUACCCAACAUGAAAAGACUUGUCUCAUUCAGACACAUAUAAGGAAAAGUGCCCAGACAAUGACAGGAGUGAAGAGUUUGAACGUUACAUUGAACCUCUUUGUAUUCAUUAAACCUCAUUGCCAGCUCUUUUUGGCCAUUUCAGGCUCAGAUAAGAUACGGAAAGUAUACUGCAUAGGGAGUACUGUAUAUUGUGCAUAGAAAAUGUUUUAUUUAUUUUUUCCCCAUGAAUGAUCCUAUGAUGCCUAAAAUAAUUACUUAUAUCCAGAUCCAAGAUCUAGAACUCAGAGAAAACCUUUGAGCAAGUUGUCGAAGAAUCGAUUUUGCCAAGUUGGUUUGUGAAGAUCAGAAGAAAGUGAGAGGUCUUACCACAAUGGUUAUCAUCCCUGCUACAAGUCUGUCCCACAGCUCCAGCUAAAAGGAACAUGCUCCAUCUCAGGACUGGAAACAGAGAUGGGCAGCUGGCUUCUCCAACAAUUGUACAUCUACAAGCAUCACCCUUGGAAGGUUCAACUCAGUACCGCCUGUCAUUCCCACAACAGCUAACCAGCCGCAAGUUGCCCAAGUCAGCAAGAUUUCACUUUUCCACCAAUGAAAGAUGAUUACCUCUCAAAAGUGUCUAUCCUGCCUCACUGUCCACCCUUUACGUUGCGUCUGGACC